CUGAAUACAUAGGCUGGCGCGAGCCAACCCAGCGAACUGAAACAUCUUAGUAGCUGGAGGAAAGGAAAGUAAAAACGACUCCCUAAGUAGCGGCGAGCGAACGGGGAAGAGCCUAAACCGAUGGUUUCGACCAUCGGGGUUGUGGGACAGCAACGUGUAUCAGGAAUGUUAGGAGAAGUGUUUGAAUGGCACGCCACAGAGGGUGAAAGCCCCGUAUCUGAAAACUGAACUGAGCUAGCUGUAUCCCGAGUAGCACGGAGCACGUGAAAUUCCGUGUGAAUCCGCGAGGACCACCUCGUAAGGCUAAGUACUACUGUGUGACCGAUAGCGAAACAGUACCGCGAGGGAAAGGUGAAAAGAACCCCGGGAGGGGAGUGAAAUAGAACAUGAAACCGUGAGCCUACAAGCAAUGGGAGCCCUACUAAUAGGGUGACCGUGUGCCUGUUGAAGAAUGAGCCGGCGACUUAUAGGCACUGGCGGGUUAAACCGGAAAUGGUGGAGCCAUAGCGAAAGCGAGUCUGAAUAGGGCGUUUGUCAGUGUUUAUAGACCCGAACCCGGGUGAUCUAACCAUGGCCAGGAUGAAGCUUGGGUGAUACCAAGUGGAGGUCCGAACCGACUGGCGUUGAAAAGCCAGCGGAUGAGCUGUGGUUAGGGGUGAAAUGCCAAUCGAACCCGGAGCUAGCUGGUUCUCCCCGAAAUACGUUGAGGCGUAGCGUCUCGUGCUCCAGCAGGGGGGUAAAGCCACCAUUUCGGUGCGGGCUGCGAGAGCGGUACCAAAUCGAGAUGAACUCUGAAUACCCUGUGUGUAGCGAGGCAGUCAGACUGUGGGGGAUAAGCUCCAUGGUCGAGAGGGAAACAGCCCAGACCGCCAGCUAAGGUCCCCAAAUCAACACUAAGUGAUAAAGGAGGUGGGGUUGCAUAGACAACCAGGAGGUUUGCUUAGAAGCAGCCAUCCUCAAAGGAGUGCGUAAUAGCUCACUGGUCGAGCGAUCCUGCACCGAAAAUGAACGGGGCUAAGUGUUGUACCGAAGCUGCGGAUUUAUGGUAGGGGAGCGUUCUAUGUGGGGCGAAGCAUUAGCGUGAGCGGAUGUGGACUGCAUAGAAGUGAGAAUGUCGGCUUGAGUAGCGAAAACAUGGGUGAGAAUCCCAUGCACCGAAACCCUAAGGGUUCCUCCGGCAGGCUCGUCCGCGGAGGGUUAGUCUGGACCUAAGGCGAGGCCGAAAGGCGUAGUCGAUGGAUAACAGGUCAACAUUCCUGUACCGGUCAUGUUUUGGGAAGAGGGACGGAGAAGGCUAGCCAAGCCAGAUGUUGGUUACUGGUUCAAGCGUUCGAGGCGUUGAGGAGCGGUGAAAACGUUCCGAGCUGAGGCGUGAGUACGAGCUGCUACGGCAGCGAAGUUGGUGACGUCAUGCUUCCAAGAAAAGCUCUAUACCCGUUAAGACAUGAUUGCCAGUACCCGAAACCGACACAGGUGGGGUGGUAGAGAAUACCGAGGUGCGCGAGGUAACUCUCUCUAAGGAACUCGGCAAAAUGGCCCCGUAACUUCGGGAGAAGGGGUGCCACAGCAAUGUGGUCGCAGUGAAGAGGCCCUGGCGACUGUUUACCAAAAACACAGGUCUCCGCUAAGUCGCAAGACGAUGUAUGGGGGCUGACGCCUGCCCAGUGCCGGAAGGUUAAGGAAGCCGGUCAGCGUAAGCGAAGCUGGCGACUGAAGCCCCGGUGAACGGCGGCCGUAACUAUAACGGUCCUAAGGUAGCGAAAUUCCUUGUCGGGUAAGUUCCGACCCGCACGAAAGGCGUAACGAUCAGGGCGCUGUCUCGGAGAGAGGCUCGGCGAAAUAGAAUUGUCUGUGAAGAUGCGGACUACGUACACCUGGACAGAAAGACCCUAUGAAGCUUUACUGUAGCUUGGUAUUGUGUCCGGGCUCUGAAUGCGCAGGAUAGGUGGGAGAUGUUGAUCUCGUGCUCGUGGGUACGAGGGAGUCAAUGGUGAGAUACCACUCUUUCAGAGCUAGGAUUCUAACGUUCACCCGUUAUCCGGGGAGCGGACAGUAUCAGGUGGGCAGUUUGACUGGGGCGGUCGCCUCCUAAAAGGUAACGGAGGCGCGCAAAGGUUUCCUCAGGCUGGUUGGAAAUCAGCUGACGAGUGCAAAAGCAGAAGGAAGCUUGACUGUGAGACCUACAAGUCGAACAGGGACGAAAGUCGGCUUUAGUGAUCCGACGGUUCUGAGUGGAAGGGCCGUCGCUCAACGGAUAAAAGUUACUCUAGGGAUAACAGGCUGAUCUCCCCCAAGAGUUCACAUCGACGGGGAGGUUUGGCACCUCGAUGUCGGCUCAUCGCAACCUGGGGCUGAAGUCGGUCCCAAGGGUUGGGCUGUUCGCCCAUUAAAGCGGUACGCGAGCUGGGUUCAGAACGUCGUGAGACAGUUCGGUCCAUAUCCGGUGUACGCGUAGGAACAUUGAGAGGAUUUCUCCCUAGUACGAGAGGACCGGGAGGAACGCACCUCUGGUGUACCAGUUAUCGUGCCAACGGUAAACGCUGGGUAGCCAUGUGCGGAGUGGAUAACCGCUGAAAGCAUCUAAGUGGGAAGCCCACCUCAAGAUGAGUGUUCCCAUGGGGUAACCCAGUAAGGUCACGGGAAGAACACCCGUUGAUAGGCUCUACGUGGAAGUCCAGUAAUGGAUGCAGCGGAGGAGUACUAAUAGACCGAGGGCUUGACCAA
rnacentral:rRNA from 1 species